rnacentral:misc_RNA from 1 species
GAUGAAGAACGUAGCGAAAUGCGAUACUUGGUGUGAAUUGCAGAAUCCCGUGAACCAUCGAGUCUUUGAACGCAAGUUGCGCCCGAAGCCAUCAGGUUGAGGGCACGUCUGCCUGGGCGUCACAUAUCGUUGCCCAAUGCCUAUUGCAGUGCAAUAGGAAUUUCUAGGGCGAAUGAUGGCUUCCCGUGAGCGUUGUUGCCUCGCGGUUGGUUGAAAAUCGAGUCCUUGGUAGGGUGUGCCAUGGUAGAUGGUGGUCGAGUUAGAACGAUACCGAUCAUGUGCAUGCUCCCCAAAAUAUGGCCUCUAUGACCCACACGCGUCUUUUGACGCUCAUGACGAGACCUCAGGUCAGGCGGGGCUACCCGCUGAAUUUAAGCAUUCAAUAAGCGGAGGA